rnacentral:rRNA from 1 species
GCGGGUGAGUAACGCGUGGGAACGUACCUUUUGGUUCGGAACAACACAGGGAAACUUGUGCUAAUACCGGAUAAGCCCUUACGGGGAAAGAUUUAUCGCCGAAAGAUCGGCCCGCGUCUGAUUAGCUAGUUGGUGAGGUAAUGGCUCACCAAGGCGACGAUCAGUAGCUGGUCUGAGAGGAUGAUCAGCCACAUUGGGACUGAGACACGGCCCAAACUCCUACGGGAGGCAGCAGUGGGGAAUAUUGGACAAUGGGGGCAACCCUGAUCCAGCCAUGCCGCGUGAGUGAUGAAGGCCCUAGGGUUGUAAAGCUCUUUUGUGCGGAAAGAUAAUGACGGUACCGCAAGAAUAAGCCCCGGCUAACUUCGUGCCAGCAGCCGCGGUAAUACGAAGGGGGCUAGCGUUGCUCGGAAUCACUGGGCGUAAAGGGUGCGUAGGCGGGUCUUUAAGUCAGGGGUGAAAUCCUGGAGCUCAACUCCAGAACUGCCUUUGAUACUGAAGAUCUUGAGUUCGGGAGAGGUGAGUGGAACUGCGAGUGUAGAGGUGAAAUUCGUAGA